rnacentral:rRNA from 1 species
GAUGAACGCUGGCGGCGUGCCUAAUACAUGCAAGUCGAGCGAACGGACGAGAAGCUUGCUUUUCUGAUGUUAGCGGCGGACGGGUGAGUAACACGUGGAUAACCUACCUAUAAGACUGGGAUAACUUCGGGAAACCGGAGCUAAUACCGGAUAAUAUUUUGAACCGCAUGGUUCAAAAGUGAAAGACGGUCUUGCUGUCACUUAUGGAUGGAUCCGCGCUGCAUUAGCUAGUUGGUAAGGUAACGGCUUACCAAGGCAACGAUGCAUAGCCGACCUGAGAGGGUGAUCGGCCACACUGGAGCUGAGACACGGUCCAGACUCCUACGGGAGGCAGCAGUAGGGAAUCUUCCGCAAUGGGCGAAAGCCUGACGGAGCAACGCCGCGUGAGUGAUGAAGGUCUUCGGAUCGUAAAACUCUGUUAUUAGGGAAGAACAUAUGUGUAAGUAACUGUGCACAUCUUGACGGUACCUAAUCAGAAAGCCACGGCUAACUACGUG